UCCGGUUGAUCCGCGGACCCGACUGCUAUUUGGGUGAGAAUAAGCCAUGCAAGUCGAAUGGGAUACCUAAAUUUCCCAUGGCAAACUGCUCAGUAACACAUGAUCAACUUACCCUAUAGAGAAAAAUAACCUCGGGAAACUGAGGAUAAUAUUUCAUAGUUGAAUAGGCUUGGAAAAGUUAUUCAAUAAAAAGGAUAAAAAAAAUGGUUUUUAUCUGCUAUAGGAUAGGAUCGUGGACGAUUAUGGUUGUUGGUGAGGUAACGGCUCACCAAGCCGAUAAUCGAUAGGGGCCGUGAGAGCGGGAGCCCCGAGAUGGGCACUGAGACAACGACCCAGGCCUUACGAGGCGCAGCAGGCGCGGAACCUCCGCAAUACACGAAAGUGUGACGGGGUUACCCAAAGUGUUCAGUUUUGAACUGUGGUAGGUGAGUAAUGUCCCCUACUAGAAAGGAGAGGGCAAGGCUGGUGCCAGCCGCCGCGGUAAAACCAGCUCUUCAAGUGGUCGGGAUAAUUAUUGGGCUUAAAGUGUCCGUAGCCGGUUUAGUAAGUUCCUGGUAAAAUCGGGUAGCUUAACUAUCUGUAUGCUAGGAAUACUGCUAUACUAGAGGGCGGGAGAGGUCUGAGGUACUACAGGGGUAGGGGUGAAAUCUUAUAAUCCUUGUAGGACCACCAGUGGCGAAGGCGUCAGACUGGAACGCGCCUGACGGUGAGGGACGAAAGCCAGGGGAGCGAACCGGAUUAGAUACCCGGGUAGUCCUGGCCGUAAACGAUGCAUACUAGGUGAUGGCACGGCCAUGAGCCGUGUCAGUGCCGUAGGGAAACCGUUAAGUGUGCCGCCUGGGAAGUACGGUCGCAAGGCUAAAACUUAAAGGAAUUGGCGGGGGAGCACCACAAGGGGUGAAGCUAACGGUUCAAUUGGAUUCAACGCCGGA
rnacentral:rRNA from 1 species